CCACAGGCAUUAUUGGACCCCACAGAUGCUGGGUGCGAAGUGGGGGCAAGUCCCGGUGAGAGUCGGCGGAGACUCCCCAGUGGAAAGACCCUGCGUGGCCAGAACAGGAUGAAGGGGAAGGAUCUUGAAAAUGUGAGUUGGACUGCGUCAUCCCCGCCCCUGCCUCAAAGCCCCUCCGUGGUUGCCUACAGCACAGCUUCAAGCUCCUUGGUUCUGCUUCCCGGACCUGCAGCGCUGGCCCCAGCCUGGCCGAGAGAGCGUUUGUUCACCCAAGACCUUUCUCCUCCUGCCCUCGUGGAGCCUCCACACGGAGUAAACAACGACUUCUCUGAGCCUUGAUCGCUCUGUUUGUAACAUGCAGAGAAAACGCCUUCCUAGCUGAGCAGUAGGAUUGGGGGCCGCCGCCUGCUCAGCCCGGGCCUGGGUGCAGGCACAGGAAGUGUCUUUCUUCUGCUCUGUGAGCCCAUCUUCUCAAGGGUGGGUCCAUGCUUUCUCCAUUUCAGCGUCCCUCACAGCAUCAACUCUAUGCCUUGCAGACAGCGGACACGUAAUACAGCCAUGCAGCGUGAACCUGAGCAGACCUCUCUUUUCCAGGAUGUGCAUGGUGUCCAUGACAGUGCCCACCGCACUGUGGGCCCACCGCACGCCUGAUGGCCUCACCAGAGACAUAAAGCAGAUGCCAGGAAACGUCCCCCAAACGGGCCGGCUUGCUAAGCCCAGGACCGCCUGUCCAGCUGGGGUUGGGGGCAAGGAUCCCAUUUUCUGUGGCUCUUUUUGCUCUGAUGGUCAGGUUUGCCGGCUGUACGUGUAAUCUGAAGCAUUCGGUAGCGAUCUAAUUAAAUGUUAACACAUCAUUAAAGUGAUUUGCGAUAAGCACAGUUAACAGUUUGAUAAAUCCAGUCCGGGCUGACUCCAUGCUGAAAACAAUCACUCCCAAUCAGGAGUGGGCUGUUGACAUCCGCUGAAUGUUGAGGGGACCUCCGUACAGCUGCCAUGUGCCCAGCCCCGGCGUCGGUGCCCAGGGACGCUAGAAGGGCUGUGUGCGGAUGUGAGGUGCUGUGAUGGGGUGGGGGCAGCAGUUAAUCCCAGGGCCGCUGGUGUCUGGGUGUCCCAGCAGCAGCCUGCACCCCUUGCAUGGGAUUAAGGAAGAUCUUGGUUAACGCUUUGUAAUGAAGGCGGCCUCCCGGUUGAAGGCUGUGAAUUAUUGCUUGUUAAUGGGAUUAAUUGCCUUGGGAAGUAACUCUGCAUUUCUGUGCAUCUGGUGAUGUGGGCAGAGGGAUAGGAGUUAUUUUUGUUUGAAUAUCAAUACCGU
rnacentral:lncRNA from 1 species